rnacentral:rRNA from 1 species
UGGGGAAUAUUGCACAAUGGGCGCAAGCCUGAUGCAGCCAUGCCGCGUGUGUGAAGAAGGCCUUCGGGUUGUAAAGCACUUUCAGCGAGGAGGAAGGUGGUGAGCUUAAUACGCUCAUCAAUUGACGUUACUCGCAGAAGAAGCACCGGCUAACUCCGUGCCAGCAGCCGCGGUAAUACGGAGGGUGCAAGCGUUAAUCGGAAUUACUGGGCGUAAAGCGCACGCAGGCGGUUUGUUAAGUCAGAUGUGAAAUCCCCCGGGCUCAACCUGGGAACUGCAUUUGAAACUGGCAAGCUAGAGUCUCGUAGAGGGGGGUAGAAUUCCAGGUGUAGCGGUGAAAUGCGUAGAGAUCUGGAAGGAAUACCGGUGGCGAAGGCGGCCCCCCUGGACGAAGACUGACGCUCA